rnacentral:rRNA from 1 species
GACGAACGCUGGCGGCGUGCUUAACACAUGCAAGUCGGACGAUGAAGCUAGAGCUUGCUCUGGUGGAUUAGUGGCGAACGGGUGAGUAACACGUGAGUAACCUGCCCCGAACUCUGGGAUAACUGCUGGAAACGGUAGCUAAUACCGGAUAUGACCAAUGAAGGCAUCUUCUGUUGGUGGAAAGAAUUUCGGUUCGGGAUGGACUCGCGGCCUAUCAGCUUGUUGGUGAGGUAACGGCCCACCAAGGCGACGACGGGUAGCCGGCCUGAGAGGGUGAUCGGCCACACUGGGACUGAGACACGGCCCAGACUCCUACGGGAGGCAGCAGUGGGGAAUAUUGCACAAUGGGCGCAAGCCUGGUGCAGCAACGCCGCGUGAGGGAUGACGGCCUUCGGGUUGUAAACCUCUUUUAGCAGGGAAGAAGCGAAAGUGACGGUACCUGCAGAAAAAGCACCGGCUAACUACGUGCCAGCCGCCGCAGUAA